ACCAUGAAGGGACAGGGACCUCCUCCUCGGCCGUGUUCUUCCUCGCCUCCCACCCACGCCCUUGGGUUUCAUGUCCACGAUUCAGACACCGCGGUGGCAACUUGCCCGGCGGCGGCUCCUCACCAUCCGCCCCCACUCUCGCCCUCCGCCUUCCCCAACAGAAGACACCACGCGAUGGAGAUAGCGGUGGCUGCACUCACGCUCCUGUUCCUCAGCCAUCUGAGUGGCCUUCUUGGAUUGAUUGUCUGGUGGCGGCGUGGUGUUAUUGGUUUGCUCAGCAUUCGCCAUCAUUUCAUCAAUUCGCAACAGUGGCCAUCGGUUCGGCCCUUCUGCUCCUGCGAAUCUGUGGAUCCAGCCCACGCGCAUGAUCUAGCCGAGGCGGGGGCCGCUCGAUCCAAUUCGACGCGGGGGCAAUCCAUCGCAGCAAGGGGGAAAUGGAGGGAUGCGGGUGAUGCAAGCCGACGCUUCAUCUGAUCGAAACUGCUCUGCUCAUAUUUGAAGGCCGCAAUCAUUAUACGGUUACUCUGCACAAAUUCAUGGCAGGGGAUGUCCUAUCCUUUCCGCUGCCUCACGGUACAAUGUGGGGCUCGCCAAUCAAUGCGGAGAGGAUCUCACCGGCCGAUGCAAGGAAGUUCAUCCGCCGUUUUUCAAGCGAGGAGUAAAGUGCUCGCUUGUUUUGUAUAUAUCAAUUAAUGGCAGUCGAGGGAGCGAUGGUGACGGAUGGUGGAGGUUAUGGUAUAUUGUUUGGGUACUAUUCAAGGCUGGUUCUGGAAUUUUAUUGGAAGAGAUACUGAUGGGUUGACUAUUUGCAAUGGCAAUCAGGUCUUUUACUAUUAGGCCAACAAGAAGCGCAGGCUGCACGCCGCGAGCACUGAGCGCAGUCGAUGAGCUCGCCGCCUGUUAAAACUCCGUUGCUGAACAUGUAUGGUGACCUUAAUAUAUAUCUCACAAACUACAUCAUGAUUGGUCUCCGCCCUUGGAAGCCCUUGGGAAGUCAUCACACGAGGCAUCUCAUCUAUCCUUAGCAUCAGCAUAGCAAGGACGAUGAAGUGGGUUUGAGCCAAGACCUCUAAUGAUGUUUCUACUUCUCUUUCUUCAAGUGCCUUCAUCUGGUGGGCAUAAGUAGUCUUAGUAUUGUACCUGGGUUUCUUCUCACCAGACAUGGAGGCGGGGCCGCUGGGGACACGUUAGUGCAGCUAGCUAGAUUCCACUUUAAUGAAGAUGGAGAAGACGAAGAGGGGGAGUAUAGCUUGAAUGUGUUGUAUCCAUCCUGACGACGUCGACGAUGCGCGCGUGCCGUAUGGCCGACCUGGCGAGCCUCCUGCCCUCGAGGAAAAAUUCCGCGUGUCAUGGAAGGAGCCGUACACGUACUGACGUACGUCUAUAGUGAUUCCGGCGGCGGUCUGAGUUCGUCUGACCAUCCAGGUUUCUCUGCAUGCACGCCGGCCGAGACCUACUCUUCUUUUCGCCGGACAGACGACGGUGCCUCGGACGCGAGCGGCUUCGCCGAGUGGCGCGAUCGGAACUAAUCCUGCACGAUGGGAGACGACUGCGGCGUCGUAGGGGCCGGAGGAGAAGGCAUCGCACGCAUGACCGAGAAGCUUGAAGACUUCCUCAACAGCGGCGGAAAGGUUCUUGUCCAAUUGAAUGAAGAGAUCAUUUUUUUACCGCAUCGGCCGUGGAAUACCAUGUCGAGAAGAUGUGCCAGUAGCGCAAACGGUCCGGGCUCCUGCCCACGGCAGCGUGGACGUCGGUGGCGAACAUGUUCGCUGCACCGGUGAGCAACGUGAAGAGCCGCUGGGCCACGCCUUUGUUCGUAUUAAGGCGUCGUAUUUGCAGGACGAAUAUCCAAGAUGGUUUUGCUUUAAUUUUUUUUCGUUUUCUACCUUGAUUAGCGGGAGCACAAUAAUUACCUGGUGCAUGCGACCC